UACUGCUCAGUAACACGUGGGUGACCUGCCUUGUAGUGGGGGAUAACCAUGGGAAACUGUGGCUAAUACCGCAUGGUCUUGAUAGGAGUGGAUUCUAUCAGGUAAAGCUUUAGUGCUACGAGAGGGGCCUGCGGUCGAUUAGGUAGUUGGUGAGGUAAUGGCUCACCAAGCCGAUGAUCGAUAGCUGGUCUGAGAGGACGAUCAGCCACACGGGAACUGAGAGACGGUCCCGACUCCUACGGGGGGCAGCAGUGAGGAAUAUUGGGCAAUGGGCGCAAGCCUGACCCAGCAACGCCGCGUGAAGGAUGAAGGCCCUUGGGUUGUAAACUUCUUUUGCAGGGGAAGAGAGCGGACGGUACCCUGAGAAUAAGUCACGGCUAACUACGUGCCAGCAGCCGCGGUAAUACGUAGGUGACAAGCGUUAUCCGGAAUUACUGGGCGUAAAGCGCACGCAGGCGGCUGAGAAAGUCUGACGUGAAAUCUCCCGGCUUAACCGGGAGCGGUCGUUGGAAACUACUUGGCUUGAGGCGAUGAGAGGGGUGUGGAAUUCCCGGUGUAGUGGUGGAAUGCGUAGAUAUCGGGAGGAACAUCAGUGGCGAAAGCGGCACCCUGGCAUUAGCCUGACGCUCAGGUGCGAAAGCGUGGGGAGCGAACGGGAUUAGAUACCCCGGUAGUCCACGCCGUAAACGAUGAACACUAGGUGUGGGUGGUCUCAAAAUCAUCUGUGCCGAAGUAAACGCGAUAAGUGUUCCGCCUGGGGAGUACGGCCGCAAGGCUAAAACUCAAAGGAAUUGGCGGGGGAGCACA
rnacentral:rRNA from 1 species